UAUGAGAACUUUCGUGCAUUCGCGCUCGGCGAGUAUCGGCGAUAAGCGUCGCCGAUCGUCGGUGACAGUUUGCGAUGAAUGAGAACUAGGCUUUAGCGGUUUGACGUUUGCCGUAAACUUCAAUCUAAAACUCUCUAUAAAUAGAGAGUCAUCUCAACUCAUCCACCCAUGCUCACUAAACUAAACCUAUUUUGAUUCCAGCUCAACAUGCCGCCACUUGCUAUUUAAACAAGGAACAGGUUAUUUCGCUGGCCUCAGAGUAACAAAACGUAACAAAGCAACGGUUUUACUGACACUAACCCUAUUCCAAACACCAACUCUAACCCUAACUUAACCCUACUCUAAGUUUGUUUAUCCAACUUCGCGGUCAAACGUCAAGCACACGCGCGGGUAUACGGAAAUGGCGGGAAAACUGUCUGCCAAAAUAAUAGGACUAAUGCCAGUACAAAGCGUUUACUACAAGGAAACGGUUGAAGCUACAAGGUGUAGAAUUUCACCGCUAUUUCCUUGUGUCAAGACGAAGUUAUAUUUUGAUUUUACACUCUUUGCUGGACGUUUAACCGCGGUGUUAUCAUUCCCAACCUCGUGCCCAGCCGCUUAAGAGGAUGAUAUCACGGAAGCGGAAACAACGUUAUAUAGAGAUCAGUAGCUAAGUAAGCAAGCGCGCUCAGCUUAGCCACUGAUCUCUAUUUAACAGCUUGGCGCGGUCCUCGUGCGUGAUAUCCUUUUAAGCGCCUGGGUACGAGGCUGUGCCAUUGCCAUGGCUUAACUGAGAUUAUUGGGAACUUUCUCAUUCGUACAACCAUAUUCAUAAUGAUCAUCCCAAUCCCGAUAAUUUAAGCCCUGGGCAAACUAGGAAACAUUGUUGCGGAAACAUUGUUUCCUACCAAUGUUUCGCCAUGUUUCCCAGAGUGGGCAAACACUAGGAAACAUUAGUGAGAAACAUAGGGAAACAUCAAAUGUUUCUGAAGUCGCUAGGAAACAUUUUUUUUUUUCUCGGGAAGCAAAUUUUGUUUCCGCAACAAUGUUUCCAAGGGUGGGCAAACAUGGAAACAUUUGAGGAAACAUCGAGAAUCACAAAUGUUUCUACAACAAUGUUUCCUAGUUUGCCCAGGGCUUUACUAAAACACACUGGUUUUUGGUAUCUUAAAUUCCCUGCUAUGUACAUAGACCCUUCAGCAUGCUGCGCCCAGAGCACAAACACCUCGACAGCACAAAGCAAAGAUUUAGACCUGUUUAUAAUUGUUAUGUUCGUAGUGAGUUUGUUUUCCCGCUACUUUGUUCGAGACUACUGUUAGGACAAAGCAGAAGAGAAGUUAGAUAAGAACUAGACAUUGUUGCUUGCUCGUAAUUUUCUUACGUUUUUUUUUGUGUUGCUCAAUUCGUGUUCCUGGGGUAAUGACUAAAAGCGAUGAACGAGAGGGUGGUUUUCAAGAUAGUUGAACAUUUAAACUCAGAGUUCGCUUUAGUUUUGAGUUAAUGUUGAGGAUUGUUAUAAGCGCCUUGCACAUGUGCUCUUUCACGUUUUAACAGUCUUGAAAAAUAACCGCCAUCUUGAAAACCUCCCUCUUGAAAUCACUGCUUGAAAUAUUCCGAGUUUGCUUUGGUGCACCUAUCUUCCUGCGCAGAGCUAAACUCCUUCAGAGACGAUAAGGCUGGUGGCAAAUGAGAGGACAAUAGUUAAGUAGACUGAGUGAAGCUUUGUUCUUAAACGUCAUACCAGUGUUUGUACAGAGAAUCAAGAGAGUUCUGUUAGUAUUAUUUAGUAUUCAAAUUAGCAAAACAUUGUACAUACAUAGAACAGCUUAAUAUUGUGUUCCAAGAAUAACCAAUACUAGAAACUACAUGUUGUGCUUUUCUUGAAUUAAGACUGGUUUACACUAUCAAAGUUUCUGUGAUCACAGUAGGAAUUUUGCAUCGGUAAACUCUAGUCUCUACGUUUUGAAGGAUUCAUAAGAAAUGUGUGAGGAAACUGACUUUUCCUCAAACAUUUCUUACAAAUCCUUCAAAACUUAGAAUUUACCGAUGCAAAAUUCCUGCUGUGAUCACAGAAACUUU